rnacentral:rRNA from 1 species
GGGUUGUGAGGUUAAGCGACUAAGCGUACACGGUGGAUGCCCUGGCAGUCAGAGGCGAUGAAGGACGUGCUAAUCUGCGAUAAGCGUCGGUAAGGUGAUAUGAACCGUUAUAACCGGCGAUUUCCGAAUGGGGAAACCCAGUGUGUUUCGACACACUAUCAUUAACUGAAUCCAUAGGUUAAUGAGGCGAACCGGGGGAACUGAAACAUCUAAGUACCCCGAGGAAAAGAAAUCAACCGAGAUUCCCCCAGUAGCGGCGAGCGAACGGGGAGGAGCCCAGAGCCUGAAUCAGUGUGUGUGUUAGUGGAAGCGUCUGGAAAGGCGCGCGAUACAGGGUGACAGCCCCGUACACAAAAAUGCACAUAUUGUGAGCUCGAUGAGUAGGGCGGGACACGUGGUAUCCUGUCUGAAUAUGGGGGGACCAUCCUCCAAGGCUAAAUACUCCUGACUGACCGAUAGUGAACCAGUACCGUGAGGGAAAGGCGAAAAGAACCCCGGCGAGGGGAGUGAAAAAGAACCUGAAACCGUGUACGUACAAGCAGUGGGAGCCUCUUUUAUGGGGUGACUGCGUACCUUUUGUAUAAUGGGUCAGCGACUUAUAUUCUGUAGCAAGGUUAACCGAAUAGGGGAGCCGAAGGGAAACCGAGUCUUAACUGGGCGUUAAGUUGCAGGGUAUAGACCCGAAACCCGGUGAUCUAGCCAUGGGCAGGUUGAAGGUUGGGUAACACUAACUGGAGGACCGAACCGACUAAUGUUGAAAAAUUAGCGGAUGACUUGUGGCUGGGGGUGAAAGGCCAAUCAAACCGGGAGAUAGCUGGUUCUCCCCGAAAGCUAUUUAGGUAGCGCCUCGUGAAUUCAUCUCCGGGGGUAGAGCACUGUUUCGGCAAGGGGGUCAUCCCGACUUACCAACCCGAUGCAAACUGCGAAUACCGGAGAAUGUUAUCACGGGAGACACACGGCGGGUGCUAACGUCCGUCGUGAAGAGGGAAACAACCCAGACCGCCAGCUAAGGUCCCAAAGUCAUGGUUAAGUGGGAAACGAUGUGGGAAGGCCCAGACAGCCAGGAUGUUGGCUUAGAAGCAGCCAUCAUUUAAAGAAAGCGUAAUAGCUCACUGGUCGAGUCGGCCUGCGCGGAAGAUGUAACGGGGCUAAACCAUGCACCGAAGCUGCGGCAGCGACACUAUGUGUUGUUGGGUAGGGGAGCGUUCUGUAAGCCUGUGAAGGUGUGCUGUGAGGCAUGCUGGAGGUAUCAGAAGUGCGAAUGCUGACAUAAGUAACGAUAAAGCGGGUGAAAAGCCCGCUCGCCGGAAGACCAAGGGUUCCUGUCCAACGUUAAUCGGGGCAGGGUGAGUCGACCCCUAAGGCGAGGCCGAAAGGCGUAGUCGAUGGGAAACAGGUUAAUAUUCCUGUACUUGGUGUUACUGCGAAGGGGGGACGGAGAAGGCUAUGUUGGCCGGGCGACGGUUGUCCCGGUUUAAGCGUGUAGGCUGGUUUUCCAGGCAAAUCCGGAAAAUCAAGGCUGAGGCGUGAUGACGAGGCACUACGGUGCUGAAGCAACAAAUGCCCUGCUUCCAGGAAAAGCCUCUAAGCAUCAGGUAACAUCAAAUCGUACCCCAAACCGACACAGGUGGUCAGGUAGAGAAUACCAAGGCGCUUGAGAGAACUCGGGUGAAGGAACUAGGCAAAAUGGUGCCGUAACUUCGGGAGAAGGCACGCUGAUAUGUAGGUGAAGCGACUUGCUCGUGGAGCUGAAAUCAGUCGAAGAUACCAGCUGGCUGCAACUGUUUAUUAAAAACACAGCACUGUGCAAACACGAAAGUGGACGUAUACGGUGUGACGCCUGCCCGGUGCCGGAAGGUUAAUUGAUGGGGUCAGCGCAAGCGAAGCUCUUGAUCGAAGCCCCGGUAAACGGCGGCCGUAACUAUAACGGUCCUAAGGUAGCGAAAUUCCUUGUCGGGUAAGUUCCGACCUGCACGAAUGGCGUAAUGAUGGCCAGGCUGUCUCCACCCGAGACUCAGUGAAAUUGAACUCGCUGUGAAGAUGCAGUGUACCCGCGGCAAGACGGAAAGACCCCGUGAACCUUUACUAUAGCUUGACACUGAACAUUGAGCCUUGAUGUGUAGGAUAGGUGGGAGGCUUAGAAGUGUGGACGCCAGUCUGCAUGGAGCCGACCUUGAAAUACCACCCUUUAAUGUUUGAUGUUCUAACGUUGACCCGUGAUCCGGGUUGCGGACAGUGUCUGGUGGGUAGUUUGACUGGGGCGGUCUCCUCCUAAAGAGUAACGGAGGAGCACGAAGGUUGGCUAAUCCUGGUCGGACAUCAGGAGGUUAGUGCAAUGGCAUAAGCCAGCUUGACUGCGAGCGUGACGGCGCGAGCAGGUGCGAAAGCAGGUCAUAGUGAUCCGGUGGUUCUGAAUGGAAGGGCCAUCGCUCAACGGAUAAAAGGUACUCCGGGGAUAACAGGCUGAUACCGCCCAAGAGUUCAUAUCGACGGCGGUGUUUGGCACCUCGAUGUCGGCUCAUCACAUCCUGGGGCUGAAGUAGGUCCCAAGGGUAUGGCUGUUCGCCAUUUAAAGUGGUACGCGAGCUGGGUUUAGAACGUCGUGAGACAGUUCGGUCCCUAUCUGCCGUGGGCGCUGGAGAACUGAGGGGGGCUGCUCCUAGUACGAGAGGACCGGAGUGGACGCAUCACUGGUGUUCGGGUUGUCAUGCCAAUGGCACUGCCCGGUAGCUAAAUGCGGAAGAGAUAAGUGCUGAAAGCAUCUAAGCACGAAACUUGCCCCGAGAUGAGUUCUCCCUGACCCUUUAAGGGUCCUGAAGGAACGUUGAAGACGACGACGUUGAUAGGCCGGGUGUGUAAGCGCAGCGAUGCGUUGAGCUAACCGGUACUAAUGAACCGUGAGGCUUAACCUUACAACGCCGAAGCUGUU